rnacentral:rRNA from 1 species
AGUGAACGCUGGCGGUAGGCCUAACACAUGCAAGUCGAACGGCAGCACAGUAAGAGCUUGCUCUUACGGGUGGCGAGUGGCGGACGGGUGAGGAAUACAUCGGAAUCUACUUUUUCGUGGGGGAUAACGUAGGGAAACUUACGCUAAUACCGCAUACGACCUACGGGGGAAAGCAGGGGAUCUUCGGACCUUGCGCGAUUGAAUGAGCCGAUUUCGGAUUAGCUAGUUGGCGGGGUAAAGGCCCACCAAGGCGACGAUCCGUAGCUGGUCUGAGAGGAUGAUCAGCCACACUGGAACUGAGCCACGGUCCAGACGCCUACGGGAGGCAGCAGUGGGGAAUAUUGGACAAUGGGCGCAAGCCUGAUCCAGCCAUACCGCGUGGGUGAAGAAGGCCUUCGGGUUGUAAAGCCCUUUUGUUGGGAAAGAAAAGCAGCAGGUUAAUACCCCGCUGUUCUGACGGUACCCAAAGAAUAAGCACCGGCUAACUUCGUG